CAACUUUACUGUUCUAGUGGCCUCAGGUAGUCUGUAUAUAAUGAGUGUUUUCAACUUUACUGUUCUAGUGGCCUCAGGUAGUCUGUAUAUAAUGAGUGUUUUCAACUUUACUGUUCUAGUGGUCUCAGGUAGUCUGUAUAUAAUGAGUGUUUUCAACUUUACUGUUCUAGUGGCCUCAGGUAGUCUGUAUAUAAUGAGUGUUUUCAACUUUACUGUUCUAGUGGCCUCAGGUAGUCUGUAUAUAAUGAGUGUUUUCAACUUUACUAACGGUGGUUUUAAUGAUGUGGUCUCAAGUGUCUGUUCUGAUGUGUGGUGUGUGUGUUGCAGGUUGUCCUGGUGGAUGGAAAUUAAGAUCAACCAAAUGCGCCAGGCCAGGGACAUUUUGGCAUGGAAAAGAUUUGGGACCUGAAUGUUAUUCGAGGUAGAAGAAAUCGUGGUCUAAUAUCCCAAAUCUUAAAACACGUCCAGUGAUUUUUGAACAUUUCCUGUUGAAAAGUGAUAUUCGGGGCAGCAGGUAGCGUAGUGGUUAGAGUGUAGAGGAGGCAGGUAGUCUAGUGGUUAGAGUGUAGAGGAGGCAGGUAGUCUAGUGGUUAGAGUGUAGAGGUGGCAGGUAGCCUAGUGGUUAGAGUGUAGAGGAGGCAGGUAGUCUAGUGGUUAGAGUGUAGAGGAGGCAGGUAGCCUAGUGGUUAGAGUGUAGAGGUGGCAGGUAGCCUAGUGGUUAGAGUGUAGAGGAGGCAGGUAGUCUAGUGGUUAGAGUGUAGAGGAGGCAGGUAGUCUAGUGGUUAGAGUGUAGAGGAGGCAGGUAGUCUAGUGGUUAGAGUGUAGAGGAGGCAGGUAGUCUAGUGGUUAGAGUGUAGAGGUGGCAGGUAGCCUAGUGGUUAGAGUGUAGAGGUGGCAGGUAGCCUAGUGGUUAGAGUGUAGAGGAGGCAGGUAGUCUAGUGGUUAGAGUGUAGAGGAGGCAGGUAGUCUAGUGGUUAGAGUGUAGAGGAGGCAGGUAGCCUAGUGGUUAGAGUGUAGAGGAGGCAGGUAGUCUAGUGGUUAGAGUGUAGAGGAGGCAGGUAGUCUAGUGGUUAGAGUGUAGAGGAGGCAGGUAGCCUAGUGGUUAGAGUGUAGAGGAGGCAGGUAGUCUAGUGGUUAGAGUGUAGAGGAGGCAGGUAGUCUAGUGGUUAGAGUGUAGAGGUGGCAGGUAGCCUAGUGGUUAGAGUGUAGAGGAGGCAGGUAGCCUAGUGGUUAGAGUGUAGAGGAGGCAGGUAGUCUAGUGGUUAGAGUGUAGAGGUGGCAGGUAGCCUAGUGGUUAGAGUGUAGAGGUGGCAGGUAGCGUAGUGGUUAGAGUGUAGAGGAGGCAGGUAGUCUAGUGGUUAGAGUGUAGAGGUGGCAGGUAGCCUAGUGGUUAGAGCGUAGAGGUGGCAGGUAGCGUAGUGGUUAGAGUGUAGAGGAGGCAGGUAGUCUAGUGGUUAGAGUGUAGAGGUGGCAGGUAGCGUAGUGGUUAGAGUGUAGAGGAGGCAGGUAGUCUAGUGGUUAGAGUGUAGAGGUGGCAGGUAGCGUAGUGGUUAGAGUGUAGAGGAGGCAGGUAGUCUAGUGGUUAGAGUGUAGAGGUGGCAGGUAGUCUAGUGGUUAGAGUGUAGAGGAGGCAGGUAGCGUAGUGGUUAGAGUGUAGAGGAGGCAGGUAGCGUAGUGGUUAGAGUGUAGAGGUGGCAGGUAGCCUAGUGGUUAGAGUGUAGAGGAGGCAGGUAGUCUAGUGGUUAGAGUGUAGAGGUGGCAGGUAGCCUGGUGGUUAGAGUGUAGAGGAGGCAGGUAGUCUAGUGGUUAGAGUGUAGAGGAGGCAGGUAGUCUAGUGGUUAGAGUGUAGAGGUGGCAGGUAGCCUAGUGGUUAGAGUGUAGAGGUGGCAGGUAGUCUAGUGGUUAGAGUGUAGAGGUGGCAGGUAGUCUAGUGGUUAGAGUGUAGAGGUGGCAGGUAGUCUAGUGGUUAGAGUGUAGAGGAGGCAGGUAGCCUAGUGGUUAGAGUGUAGAGGUGGCAGGUAGUCUAGUGGUUAGAGUGUAGAGGUGGCAGGUAGCCUAGUGGUUAGAGUGUAGAGGUGGCAGGUAGUCUAGUGGUUAGAGUGUAGAGGAGGCAGGUAGUCUAGUGGUUAGAGUGUAGAGGUGGCAGGUAGUCUAGUGGUUAGAGUGUAGAGGUGGCAGGUAGCCUAGUGGUUAGAGUGUAGAGGUGGCAGGUAGCCUAGUGGUUAGAGUGUAGAGGUGGCAGGUAGUCUAGUGGUUAGAGUGUAGAGGAGGCAGGUAGUCUAGUGGUUAGAGUGUAGAGGAGGCAGGUAGCCUAGUGGUUAGAGUGUAGAGGUGGCAGGUAGCCUAGUGGUUAGAGUGUAGAGGAGGCAGGUAGCCUAGUGGUUAGAGUGUAGAGGUGGCAGGUAGCCUAGUGGUUAGAGUGUAGAGGAGGCAGGUAGCCUAGUGGUUAGAGUGUAGAGGUGGCAGGUAGCGUAGUGGUUAGAGUGUAGAGGAGGCAGGUAGUCUAGUGGUUAGAGUGUAGAGGUGGCAGGUAGCGUAGUGGUUAGAGUGUAGAGGAGGCAGGUAGUCUAGUGGUUAGAGUGUAGAGGUGGCAGGUAGCCUGGUGGUUAGAGCGUAGAGGUGGCAGGUAGCGUAGUGGUUAGAGUGUAGAGGUGGCAGGUAGCCUGGUGGUUAGAGUGUAGAGGUGGCAGGUAGCCUAGUGGUUAGAGCGUAGAGGUGGCAGGUAGCCUGGUGGUUAGAGCGUAGAGGUGGCAGGUAGCCUAGUGGUUAGAGCGUAGAGGUGGCAGGUAGCCUGGUGGUUAGAGUGUAGAGGUGGCAGGUAGCCUGGUGGUUAGAGCGUAGAGGUGGCAGGUAGCGUAGUGGUUAGAGUGUAGAGGUGGCAGGUAGUCUAGUGGUUAGAGUGUAGAGGUGGCAGGUAGCCUAGUGGUUAGAGCGUAGAGGUGGCAGGUAGCCUGGUGGUUAGAGUGUAGAGGUGGCAGGUAGCCUA